UGGGGGAUAUUGCACAAUGGGCGAAAGCCUGAUGCAGCGACGCCGCGUGGGGGAUGAAGGCUUUCGGGUUGUAAACCUCUUUCGCUAUCGAACAAGGCCCGCUUAGGGUGGGUUGAGGGUAGGUGGAGAAGAAGCGCCGGCUAACUACGUGCCAGCAGCCGCGGUAAUACGUAGGGCGCGAGCGUUGUCCGGAAUUAUUGGGCGUAAAGGGCUUGUAGGCGGCUUGUUGCGCCUGCUGUGAAAACGCGGGGCUUAACUUCGCGCGUGCAGUGGGUACGGGCAGGCUUGAGUGUGGUAGGGGUGACUGGAAUUCAGGUGUAGCGGUGGAAUGCGCAGAUAUCUGGAGGAACACCGAUGGCGAAGGCAGGUCACUGGGACAUUACUGACGCUGAGGAGCGAAAGCAUGGGUAGCGAACAGG
rnacentral:rRNA from 1 species